AUAUCAGUCAUGCAUAGCAUAUCAAUAAGCGGAGGAAAAGAAACUAACAAGGAUUCCCUUAGUAACGGCGAGUGAAGCGGGAAGAGCUCAAAUUUGAAAUCUUCAAGGUUUUACCUUGACGAAUUGUAGUUUAAAGAAGUGUUUUCUGUUGAAGUUUUGGUAAAAGUUCUUUGGAAUAGGACAUCAUAGAGGGUGAGAAUCCCGUAUUUGACCAUUAUUUUCAGCUUUGUGAUACACUUUCAAAGAGUCGGAUUGUUUGGGAAUGCAGUCCAAAAUGGGUGGUAAAUUUCAUCUAAAGCUAAAUAUUGGCGAGAGACCGAUAGCGAACAAGUACCGUGAGGGAAAGAUGAAAAGAACUUUGAAAAGAGAGUUAAACAGUACGUGAAAUUGUCAAAAGGGAAGCGUUUGACACCAGUGUUGUUUUCUCGAAAAUCAAUUAAAAAAAGUUGGAUUUUGUGUUGUAUUGACCUUAACAGCUUUCUGCACUCUUUUCCUGCUUUUUUUAAUGCACUUUUCGUUUAACAAGUCAACAUCAGUUUCUUUGUUGUAAAAGGGUCAUUGGAAGGUGGCUUUCUUUUCGGAGAAAGUGUUUAUAGCCUUUGAUCUCUGCAAUCGGAGAGACUGAGGUCUGCAGCGUAGAUCCUUCGGGGUUAGAUACAUUUGUGCUAAGUUAUAACUUUUCAUAGACAACUUGUUGACUAUGUUUUAGUCAUGUAGCUUACUCGCUUAUGCUAUUUUACCUACGCUUAGGAUGUUGAAGAUGUAGCACAUCAUACACGCAUGACACACUGCAUAUCAAUAAGCGGAGGAAAAGGAGUAUACCUACGCUUAGGAUGUUGAAGAUGUAGCACAUCAU
rnacentral:rRNA from 1 species